GACAUUUUGCUCGAGUCUAUGGCAUCAGUCAGCUGAUAAAGGCAUUUCUACGGAAGACAGACUGUCAUUGUCAAAUUGUAAAUCUUGGGACUGGGAUGGAGACCACCUUCUGGAGAUUAAAGGGAUCCUGAUAAAAAUCCUUGUCAACGUGUCCUCUGCAUGAGUGGAAGACCCUGCCAGUGGGACUGUGAGGCUUAGACCCCCGUGUCUGCUGUAUUCACAAUCACGAAGAUUUUAUUGUCAGCGUGACAGUAUCUUCAGUACAGUUUAGUGAUGUGCAAGGCUGGGUGAUAGUGAUACGUACAAAGGCCUUUCAUAGCUGUUUCCUGAUUUCAUCCCUCACCUGCUCUGUUAACGAUCAAGAACAGGUAUAACUACUCUCACAGGAAAUGAGACGGGUCGGGUUAGUGGCAGAACCAGGACCGAAUAGACUGCAGGUCCCGCAAGUCCAGGUUGCUUCCCUGUUUCUCUGUACAGAGGCUUGUGCUUGCUCAGGGGGUUCUUUGUGGUCCAUCAGUCAGUGGUGCCUGUGCCUCAGUGACCAUCAUGUGGUGGAAGGAGCUGGAGCAGAAUGCAGGGGCAGAACAUACACAGUAGGAGCAGAAGCCACUGGAGAAAUGCCUCCUCUCGGUGCCACACCCUUUCGAAUUGGUCCCGAGGUUGGUUUUGUCCUUCAUGUCAUAUAGUUGGGUUGAUUAGGAAUAAAUCUGACAUUUUCAUUUCUGGUCUAGGUACACUGAGACUUAGGUACCCCUUCCAAGGAAAAGGUUAUAUGCCAGGAGUAAGGACGGCAAAUAGCACAGGGUAGGAAAGAUUUAGUGGAGGUGUUUUGGAUCGGUCCAAAGGGUUUUUAAAAAAACUCAAGUCUCCUUGAAUAAAAAGAAUGCCUGUUCCAAUCAUCUUCAUGUUCAUUCCCUGCUAGAAGGUCAAACCACCUCACUUGACAAUGGCAAGGUCUCCAGUAUCUUGUAGGUCUUCUUUAGCAUAGGAAAGUUCCUUUGAAACCCUUCCCUUUCCUUACCUCCCCCACCUUCCAAGGGUGUAUCAGUCCCCCCCACAACACUGAUGCCGCUCUUUCUGUGCACGGAUCCUGUCCCGGUGCUUUAAUAAAGCCACCGUUUUGCACCAAA